rnacentral:rRNA from 1 species
UACGAAGGGGGCUAGCGUUGCUCGGAAUCACUGGGCGUAAAGCGCACGUAGGCGGCUUUCUAAGUCAGGGGUGAAAUCCUGGAGCUCAACUCCAGAACUGCCUUUGAUACUGGGGAGCUCGAGUCCGGAAGAGGUGAGUGGAACUCCGAGCGUAGAGGUGAAAUUCGUAGAUAUUCGGAAGAACACCAGUGGCGAAGGCGGCUCACUGGUCCGGUACUGACGCUGAGGUGCGAAAGCGUGGGGAGCAAACAGG